rnacentral:hammerhead_ribozyme from 1 species
AUCCAGCUGAUGAGUUUUAAAUAGGACGAAACGCGCGUCCUGGAU